UACGUAGGUGGCAAGCGUUGUCCGGAAUUAUUGGGCGUAAAGCGCGCGCAGGCGGUCCUUUAAGUCUGAUGUGAAAGCCCUCGGCUCAACCGAGGAGGGUCAUUGGAAACUGGAGGACUUGAGUGCAGAAGAGGAAAGUGGAAUUCCAAGUGUAGCGGUGAAAUGCGUAGAGAUUUGGAGGAACACCAGUGGCGAAGGCGACUUUCUGGUCUGUAACUGACGCUGAGGCGCGAAAGCUAGGGGAGCGAACGGG
rnacentral:rRNA from 1 species